rnacentral:lncRNA from 10 species
UUGUGAAACUGAGCCAUCAACUGUGCCUAGAGAUCACUGAAGUGAAGGACCGGAGACACUAAAGCUAAGAGUUAACGUUUAUUGAGCAUCUACAGUAUACCAAGCCCUCUUCUAGAAACAAAUGAACACAAAGUUCUUGGCACAGUGCCUGGCACAGUCAGGCUCCAUCAAGUUUCAUUUCCUUUCUCCCUGCUAUUAAAUGAGAAAGAGGGCAUGAGGAGGUGGGAGUAAAGGAGCCAGAAAGGGAAGGUAGGAGACUGGCAAGAAGAAGCUCUGGCUGCUCUGGGAUGCAACAUGCAGGUUCCCGCAACCCUCCUGGAGUAGGAGGAGAAGCUGCCCCUCACUGACCACUCAGGAAGGAGAGAAGCUUCCCAUGUCAACGCCCCCAGCUCUCAUCUGGGUCAGAGCCAGCAAUGAGGACAGAUCCAAUCCUCUGGCAUUACAUCAAUGCAGAAAGAGAAGGUCUGGCCAAGUGGCAUGAAACUUUGUGACAUCAUCAGCGGCUCCAGCUCUGAGAGAAAUCCAUCCUUCUAGCCAGAGGACCAGGAAAAGGAGCUGGUCCUUUUCCGGCAAGACGGAACUCUUGCAGAGGAAAGAGGGGGAGAAAGGGAUUCCAUGUAGGAGCCAGCACAAGUCCUGACCUCACCUCCAAGAUGUGCAUGUGUGGAACACAAACAGCAUUAACAAAGGCUUUGAAAACUGAGCUGACGUUGAGACCACUGCCUACACAAGAUGAGACAGAGCUUGCUGUUGAACUUAACGGGGUUGAUUACCUGCUAAAACAAAACAAAACUCAACAUGCUUUAUGAUUUUAACAGGACCCAGAGUCUCAUAGUAUACUAUAUGAAAUGUCCAGGAAACAAUUUAAAACUACCCAAAGUGAUAAGGACCAGGAAAACAUGACCAGUUCUCAAGGGAAAAGAUAAGACAAUGUUGGAACUGGAAAAAAAAAACUCCGAAGCAUCUAUUAUAAUCAUCCUGCGUGACAUAAAGGUGAAUGCUCUUACAAUGAAUGGAAAAAUAGAAAUUCUCAGUCAAGCAAUAGAAAUUAUAUAAAAGAAGAACCAAAUGGCAAUAUAUUAGAACUGAGAAACACAAUAUCUGAAAUAAAUUCACUGGAUGGGCCCAAUAGCAGAAUGCAAAUGACAGAGGUAAUGUCAGUAGACUAGAAGGUAGAUCAUCAGAAAUUAUCCAAUGUGAAAGAUAGAAAAGUGUUUGAAAAAUAAUGAAUAAAGCCUCGAGGAUCUGUGGGACAAUACCAAAUGGUCUAAUGUUCAUGUCAUUGGAAUCCUUAAAGGCAAGGAGAAAGAGAUUGUUAUAGAACAAAAUAUUUGAAAAAACAAUGGCUGAAAACUUCCCAGAUUUGAUGACUGACAUAAAUUUAAGAUUCAAGUAGCUCGUUAAACCUCUAACAGGAUAAAUGUAAACAAAACUGAAUGUCCCACAACUCCCUACCUUCCUACCCGCCAAUGCCCUCCUCCUCACUUAUCUGGACUCUGAAAGCAUCUGAGCUUUUGACCCUGGGGUAAGGGAAGUAGCACAUGAAUAGGAGUCAGACCUCUGGGGAUUUUAACCCUGGCUCACUGACAUGUGUGAGGGCUGGAGAAAACCAGUCUUUCUGCCUGGGCCUCAGUUCCUCACCUGAAAAAAAUCUCAGGGUUGAACUAGACAGUCUUCUAAGCCCCUUCAGCUCUAAAAUACCACCCUUUAUGAACUCUUAUGUGAAAUUUUUCUGUUCAAAAAUAAUAUUAUAUAUCAAACCCUAAUGCUAUGAAACAAAAAACUGCUUUUCUGCCAAGAGUCUUUUCAAUCCUUAUAAUGGUGCAAGUGACUGAAAUGAAGAUGGUCACAGAACAGAACCAAAAAUGGAGUUCAUAGCAACCAGAAUGGAAGUCAGCUUUCCCAGCAGCUUCCGGCAGAGCCCUGCAAGCACCAUGGGAAGCCUGGAAUUCAUUGGAAAGGACAGGAAGCUCUGUAGAAAACUUUUCAUUUUCAAUAAAUGCAUUUCCAAUUUCAUC